GGCGGGAUAGCUCAGUUGGCUAGAGCACACGGUUCAUACCCGGGGUGUCGCUGGUUCAAACCCAAUUCCCGCUACUA
rnacentral:tRNA from 1 species